CCUACGGGGUGCAGCAGUGGGGAAUAUUGGACAAUGGGCGAAAGCCUGAUCCAGCCAUGCCGCGUGUGUGAAGAAGGCCUUCGGGUUGUAAAGCACUUUCAGUGGGGAAGAAAGCCUUGGGGCUAAUACCCUCGAGGAAGGACAUCACCCACAGAAGAAGCACCGGCUAACUCCGUGCCAGCAGCCGCGAUAAUACGGAGGGUGCGAGCGUUAAUCGGAAUUACUGGGCGUAAAGCGCGCGUAGGCGGUCUGAUAAGCCGGUUGUGAAAGCCCCGGGCUCAACCUGGGAACGGCAUCCGGAACUGUCAGGCUAGAGUGCAGGAGAGGAAGGUAGAAUUCCCGGUGUAGCGGUGAAAUGCGUAGAGAUCGGGAGGAAUACCAGUGGCGAAGGCGGCCUUCUGGACUGACACUGACGCUGAGGUGCGAAAGCGUGGGUAGCAAACAGGAUUAGAUACCCUUGUAGUC
rnacentral:rRNA from 1 species